rnacentral:rRNA from 1 species
ACUACGGGAGGCAGCAGUGAGGAAUAUUGGUCAAUGGGCGUAAGCCUGAACCAGCCAAGUCGCGUGAGGGACGACGGCCCUACGGGUUGUAAACCUCUUUUGCCGGGGGACAAACGGUGGGACGCGUGCCGUGCUGAGGGUACCCGGAGAAAAAGCAUCGGCUAACUCCGGGCCAGCCGCCGCGGUAAUACGGAGGAUGCGAGCGUUAUCCGGAUUUAUUGGGGUUAAAGGGUGCGCCGGCGGGUUGCGAAGUCAGCGGUCAAAUACGGGGGCGCAACCUGCGCCCGCCGUUGAGACUGGCGUUCUUGAGUGGGCGAGAAGUACGCGGAAUGCGUGGUGUAGCGGUGAAAUGCAUAGAUAUCACGCAGAACCCCGAUUGCGAAGGCAGCAUGCCGGCGCCCGACUGACGCUGAGGCACGAAAGCGUGGGUAUCGAACAGGAUUAGAUACCCGGGUAGUC